GACGAACGCUGGCGGCGUGCUUAACACAUGCAAGUCGAACGGAAAGGCCCGGCUUUUGUUGCUUUCUCGAUUGGCGAACGGGUGAGUAACACGUGUGUAACCUGCCCCUGUCUUUGGGAUAACUUCAGGAAACUGGGGCUAAUACCGGAUAUGAUCUCCUGCUGCAUGUGGUGGGUUGGAAAGUUUCGGCUUUUCUGGAUGGACUCGCUGGUUAUCAGCUUGUUUGUGUGGUAGGUGCUUACCAAGGGUUUGACGGGUAGCCGGCCUAAGAGGGUGAACGGGCACCUGGGGCCUGCGGUACGGACCAGAAUGCAAUCGGCGGCAGUAGUGGGGAGCCUGGCAGAACGGGCGGGAGCCAGAUGUAGAAAUGCUGCGUGCGGGAUGCCGGCCUUCGGGUUGUAAACAGCUUUGGCAUGUGACGAAGAGUGAGUGACGGUAAUGGGUAAAGAAGCCCCGGCUAACUACGUG
rnacentral:rRNA from 1 species